rnacentral:rRNA from 1 species
CCCGCUGAACUUAAGCAUAUCAAUAAGCGGAGGAAAAGAAACUAACAAGGAUUCCCCUAGUAACUGCGAGUGAAGCGGGAAAAGCUCAAAUUUGAAAUCUGGCGGCUCUGCCGUCCGAGUUGUAUUCUGGAGAAGUGCCUUCCGCGCCGGACCGUGUACAAGUCCCUUGGAACAGGGCGUCAUAGAGGGUGAGAAUCCCGUCUUUGACACGGACCCCCGGUGCUCUGCGAUGCGCUCUCGAAGAGUCGAGUUGUUUGGGAAUGCAGCUCAAAAUGGGUGGUAAAUUCCAUCUAAAGCUAAAUAUUGGCGAGAGACCGAUAGCGAACAAGUACCGUGAGGGAAAGAUGAAAAGCACUUUGGAAAGAGAGUUAAACAGUACGUGAAAUUGUUAAAAGGGAAACGAUUGAAGUCAGUCGCGUCUACUUGGACUCAGCCUUGCCUUGGCUUGGUGCAUUUCCUUGUGGACGGGCCAGUGUUCAUGUUGGUUGCUGGAAAAAGUGUAGGGGAAUGUGGCUCUUUCGGGAGUGUUAUAGCCCCUGUUCAUAUACAGUGACUGAUAUGGAGUGGUACAGCAUGCUUCGGCGGUGCUUGUGCUGGCAUAAUGGCUUUAAACGACCCGUCUUGAAACACGG